rnacentral:tRNA from 1 species
GCCUGGUUGGCUCAGUCGGUUGAGCGUCUGACUUCGGCUGAGGUCAUGAUCUCACGAUUUGUGAGCUAGAGCCCCACAUCGGGCU